GUGUGUGUGUGUUUGUGUCUGACUGUGUGUGUGUGUGUUUGUUUCUGACUGUGUGUGUGUGUGUUUGUUUCUGACUGUGUGUGUGUGUGUCUGACUGUGUGUGUGUGUGUGUCUGACUGUGUCUGACUGUGUGUUUGUGUCUGUCUGACUGUGUGUGUGUCUGACUGUGUGUGUGUUUGUGUCUGUGUGUGUUUGUGUUUGUGUCUGUG